rnacentral:misc_RNA from 1 species
GCAAACUUGGUCAUUUAGAGGAAGUAAAAGUCGUAACAAGGUCUCCGUUGGUGAACCAGCGGAGGGAUCAUUAAAGAGUUUUAUAACUCCCAAACCCAUGUGAACAUACUAUACGUUGCCUCGGCAGGUCGCGUCUACCCCGUAGCACCUUACCCUGUAAGACCCUACCCUGUAGGACUUACCUGGUAGGACCUACCCGGCAGACGCGGGUAAGCCUGCCGGCGGCCCACGAAAACUCUGUUUUAGCAUUGUACCUCUGAAUACUAUAACUAAAUCAGUUAAAACUUUCAACAACGGAUCUCUUGGUUCUGGCAUCGAUGAAGAACGCAGC